GGGAGUUGGGCGCUAAGUGGUGCGGGCUGGGCGCUGGUGGGCGGGGUGCGGGUCCCCGAUUUCGGGGGCGCCCGGGACCCCAGCGCCUGCCUUGACAACUGCUGUUGCGGAAUGCAGCCGAGACUUUCCGAGCGCCUGGGGAGGGACGUGCAGAUAGUGCUGGGGCCCCGCCGGAGUCUCGGCAUCUGCAGUCUUCGGGGCUGUGGCUUCCCAGUCGCCCGGGCUCGGUCCCGAAAACUGGCAGACCUACUUUGAUCCCGGAGACUCAGUGUUUUCCGCCUUGAAAUGGAGCCACAGCUAUGCACCAUGAGCAUCCAUCCAUGGGCGGGCCCUGGUUUUCUUCCUCUCCGGGACCCUCCUGUUCAGUGUGAACGCCCUCUGUACACUGUGGAAUGAUGUGUCUGCCCACCACCUGUCUGUUGUCUCUGAUAACCGGCGGGGAGGUGACCCGAGAGACUCUGCAGGACCUUAUCCUCAAGCAACUUUAACCCCGGUGGAGUUGGAAUGGCUUCCAGUCCCACGUGUGUUUCUGGACGCCCGGCGCACGGUGCCCUUUCCCAAAACCUCUUGUCGGUUUCUGAUCCCUUUCAGCCGUUCAGCAAGCCGUCGGCGAGCGCCGCCUGUAUUUCAGACACUGUGCCAGACUCUGGGAGGAAAUGAAAGCAGUUCCCUGACGACUGGGAGCUGGAACGUUAAACGCGUAAUCGCACUAGACAAGGUAAUGUGUGUAUCACUGGUGAGGGCUCUGAACGGGCUGCCUGGGCGCUGUCUCAGCCCUGCAGCGGGAGACUUACUCUGACCCCUGAAGCCUGUGGCUCCUCCCUGGGGCGCUUGGUACUUGUCACUUAACUGCUUCCUCCCAGAUGCUGAGAAACCGAGAACUCCUGGCUUCCUUCCUCUCUGCCACUUUCACGUGCGCCCUCGGCUUCUCCUGCCCAACCUCUCCACUCCUGGACCAGCAUGGUGAGGACUCUUGCUCCCAGUUUUUCCAGCACAGGCUGAGCAAUGAGGGUUCAAUUUUCUGACAUUACAUCUCUGGGCUUGACAUCUGUAGCAAAAUCGUCAAGACUUGGGUCUCCUGGGCUCUGGAGUCCACACUGCUCUGGUAACCCUCUAUGGCUGAUCAAACCUCUCCCUCUCUCUUCCUGGUUGCUGGCUUUGUUUUUGUUCAUGUGCUGUUGAUCACUCAGAUCCCUCCACCCAGAAAGCCCUCUCCUUCUGUUAGUGGAAAUAUUGUUCAUCCUCCCUGUCUAGUUGAAGUGCCACAAAAUUCCCUAAAACUCCUCCUCAGGGACUAUGGACUUUCUUUGGAUUUCUAGCAAAGUAAUGAUUAUCUUUAAAUGAAUUCCUAGCCCCAGGCAAUGUAUUAAAUGCUUGAUGUGCACUCUUAACGCUCUGGGUUACUCUUACUGUUUGUGGUGGUUGAUUUUCUUAUACCCAUUUGCAAAUGAGGCUUUGAUUAAAGAAUGCAGCAGCCAGAAUGAUCCUGUUUGGACAAAGGUUAGAUUUUAUCAUUCCUCAGUUUAAAUUCCUCCAGUGGCUUCCAGCCUGUCCCUGGGUUCCCUAUACAGAACUAUAAGACCCUACAAGCCUGCAUAUGAUUAACCCUUAUCCCUCACUCUCUGCGUUGUGCUUCAGUCCUAAUCUUCCUUACUGUUUCUCAGAGCUCUGCAAAUGCAUUCCUGCCUCGCCUCAGGACCCUUGCACUUGUUACCUCUAGAAUGCCCACUCUUCUAUUUUCUAAAUUCUAGCCUCAUGUGCUUUUCAAAUAUAUUUUUAUUGUGCCAAAAUACACACAAUGGAAAUUUUACCAUUUUAACCAUUUUAAGUAUGCAGUUGAGCAGCAUAAGUACAUUCACAUUGUUGCACAAUCAUUGCCACUGUCCAUCUCCACAACUUUUCCCUCACUCCGGACUUAAAUUCUAUGCCCAUUAAACACUUAACUCCUCAUUCCUCCCUUCCAAACCUCCAGAAACUGCCAUUAUCCUUUGCUCUAUGCAUUUGACUAUUCUACUUAUACUUUGUAUAAGUGAAAUCAUAUAAUCCUUGUCAUUGUGUGUCUGGCUUAUUUCAUUGAUAUUUUCAAGGUUAAUUUUUGUUGUAGCACGUAUGAGAAUGUCAUUCUUUUUUAAGAUUGAAUAAUAUUCCAUUACAUGUAGAUACCACAUUUUGUUUAGCCAUUCAUCCAUUGAUGGACAUUUGGGUUGUUUCCGCCUUUUGGCUAUUAUGAAUAAUGUUGCAAUGAAUAGUCUUCUAUCUUUUAUACUUCAAUAGAUACAUAGUAUUUAUAAAAUCAGAUAAUGUUGCAAAAUUCUUUUAUGUGCCUCUAGAGCAGAGAGCACAGUGCUGUCUAGAGUGAUCUUUCAUAAACACAAGCUCCCUCCUGCUUGGGCUCACCUAUGGCUUCCCUUCACUUUAGACUUGUCUAUGAGAAACCUUACUACAGUCUGCAAGAUCUAAGCGAUCUGACCCAACCUCCAGCUUUUGCCUUUUCUCUUUUCCUUCUAGUUAUUCCUCAAACACACCCAGCUGCUGAUCACCUUAGGGCCUUUGCAAACUUGCUCUGCCCUUCUCUGAAAAUAACUCCCUUCAGACCUUUGCAUGGUUCAGGAACCCAAUCAGAGGUUCUGCCUCAGAGAGAACUUCCUGACCAGCGGAUCUAAAAUAUCGCCUAGUGCCCCAGUUGUCUCCAUUUUCUUGAGUUUUCUUCAGAGCACGUCUCAUUUGGGGUCUCCUGCCCUACAAUGUGAGCUUCAAGAAAAGCAGGAAUUUGGUGCUUUUCUUGUCUUUUAUGGUACUCCUAUCUCUGUCAGAACAGACUUCUCUUUAUUGUGAAUCAGAAAACGGGUGCCCGUGCUCUUUCUGGACAGAGGAAUUUGCAGAAAGGUUCACCCUCUUCCUGAGCCAACGCAGCCAAGGCACAAAGAUUUCAGCUCCUGCCCCUGUUGUCUAUACAAUGCUGAAUUGUGGACCCUCGCAGGCAUGGCACACAGUAGGUGCUCAAUAAUUACUGGUCGAGCGAAAUAUAGCAAUUAAGAUCAUGACGGGAGAUAAAAUAUUCAGUGUGGGGCUCUCCUUCUCACCCCAUCUUGUAGCUCCAUAGAGGAUUCUGCAGGAAAUUGGAUUUGAGCUUUUUCUCAUGUCUUAUAGAGUCACUUGCGGAUCAAAGCUGCACACCAGCCCUGUCUGCCCCCAAUGGGGACUUGAGCUUGAGAACCCAGCUUUAAUCCUAGGACUCUUUGAUCACUUUCUACAAUGUGGGAUGUACCAGGCAGGGAUAGGGCUCCUGGGGCUUUAUCCUACUCACAGAGACAAUACCAUUUCCUGGGAAAACUGAUCUGCACUGACUGAAAUUAAACAAGAAAUGUUACUUUCAGACUAAGCCCUCCUACUAGGCCUGUUGUGGCAUUAAAUCAUAUAAUGUGCAUAAAGGGCUUACGGUAGAUCCUGGUCAAAUGUAAGCAUGAUUAGCUGUGGGUGUAAUAAAAGCUCAGCACCAACAGGAGCUCUGAAAAGGGAUAGACAGGAUUUCAGCUGAGGGCAAAACCCUCUGCUAUGGCCUGCAUUUUUCUGAUCUCAUCUCCUAUCCUUUCUUUCUCACUCCAAACCAGCCACAAACACUUCCUGCCCUUGAAGGCACCGUGCUCAUUCCAGCCCAAGACCUUUAGUUAGCUGUUAUGUCUGCCAGCUGUUUUUUUCCAAGAUCCCCCCACUCUGUCCCCAAUAAUUGCUAGCUGUCUCUGAUCCUUCAGAUCCCAGUCAAAUGACACCUAUUCACAGAGACCUUUUUAAACACACUCUUUCAUACUUUAUAUCUUGCUCUAUUUUCUUCACAGUGCAUAUCCCUCUUUGCCACAGUCUCAUUUAUUUGCUUAUUCACUUGCUUGUUACUGAGCAUCUCCAAAUAGAAUAUCAGCCACACUUGGCAGUUUCCUUGAGGGCUGUACCCUGCUAUUUCCCUGCAUUGUGGAAUAUUAGUCCCUGAAACGUGGAAAGAGAUUGAUACCUUUUUGAUGAAUGAUGAAUCUCUCCUCGCUUUCCCCAUCUUCCCAUCUUUACUUCCUGUUUUAUAAAAAUGAGCCAUAUAUUCUAUGACUCACUCUUUGGUGUUCCAUCUUGUCAUCAGUAACAGGAAGGUUCAGUCGGAGGAGAAGUGACAGGUGCAGGCCCCCAAUCUUCCUAAUGAGGAUAUAAGAACUUUUCCUGCUGAAUAUCUUCACCUGGACUUUCUUAGGGACCCAUGUUGCUGACCCCAUUUGUCAAGAACUGUACCCUCAGGCUGGAGUGGCCAAGCUCUGAGCUGAGAGGGUAUAAAAGUAGACUGGAUCAGAAAGUCAGACGGGUUGGCCUUUGUGAUAGUCUGCUUCUAAUACCCUUUAAUCUUGGCCAAAUCCUUUAGCUGUUCUCAGCUGCAAAAUGAGGAUGCCUUUAAUGAAUGAGUUCCAGGCUGGUGAGAGACACCAAAAGCAAAACCCAAAAAAUCAUGGGUGUUGUAUUUCCUACAAGCCCAAAGCCUUCUAGCUCCUCCUCUCUUUGGGGAUCACCAAGCUCAACUGACGUGUUCUCAGAGAAGCCUGAUCUCCCCAAACAGACUCCAUCUUUCAGCUGUCUGACCUCCCAGUCCUGCCUUUCCUUAUGGUCAGAAUGUUUAUGGCUGUGGAGAAUUACUUGAUAUCCAUCUCUCCCUCUGGGCUGUAAGCCCCAUGAAGACAGAGACCAUGGUAGCUUUCAGCAUUUUUUUAUUCGUUUGUAAUAGAUUUUACUUUUUAGAGUAAUUUUAGGUUCACAGCCAAAUUGAGCAGAAGGUACUGAGAUUUCCCAUACACUCCUGCCCCCAAACAUGUACAGCCUCACCUGCUAUCAACAUCUCUCAAAAGAAUAGCCUUCUUGUUAAAAUUGAUGAUCUUACAUUGAUACAUCAUGAUCACCCUAGUAUGUAGUCUACAUUGGAGUUCACUUUUGGUGUUGGAUAUUCUAUGGAUUUGGACCAAUGUAUAAUGAGGUAUCCACCAUUACAGAAUUAUAAGGAGUGGUUUCCCAACCCCCAAAUCCUCUGUGCUCCCCCUUCUCUCCCUGCUCCCAACCCCUGGCAACCAUGGAUCUUUUACUGUCUCCAUAGGUUUGCCUUUUACCAAAAAAGUGUGUAGUCUUUGCAGACUGGCUUCUUUCACUUAGCAAUAUGCAUUUACAGUUCUUCAAUAUCUUUUUGAGGCUGGGUAGUUCAUUUCCUUUUACGGAUGAAUAAAAUUCUGUUGUCUAGAUGGCUUGCAGCUUAUCCACUCACUGACUGAAGGCCAUGCUGAUUGCUUCCAAGUUUUGGCAAUUAUGAAUUAAGGUGCAAUAAACAUCCACAUGCAGGUUUGUGUGUGGACAUAAGUUUUUGCCUCCUUUGGGUAAAUACCAAGGAGCUCAAUUAUUGAGUGCGUUUAGUUUUUUGAGAAACAACCAAACUGUCUUCCAAAGUGGAAAAUACAAAGUGCCAUUUUGCAUUUCCAUCAGCAAAGAAUGAGAAUUCCUAUUGCCCUACUCCUUGCUGGUACUUGGUGUCUGGGUUCUAGAUUUGGACCAUUCUAGCAAGUGCAGAGUGACAGCUCAUUGUUUUGAUUUACACUGAUGACAUAUGAUAUGGAACAUCUUUUCAGAUGUUUAUUUCCCUGGGUUUUGGCUCCACAGUAUCCCCUCAAUGCCUAGCAUAGUACCUAGACACAAGGAGGUGCUCAACAAACAUUUGGAAAAUAAAUGAACCAAUUAAUCAAUCAAACAUUAAAGCAUUCACCUCUCUAAAACCUAUAUUGAGUAAUUUUACAGUAAUUUUAGGUUCACAGCCAAACUGAGCAGAAGGUACUAAGAUAUCCCAUAUACUCCUGCCCCCAAACAUGUACAGCCUCGCCUGCUAUCAACAGCCCUCUUCCUAUAUUGAGGAAAUUCACUAAGGCUAUUGUCAGUAAUCCAAAUUGCUAUCUCUACAACUUGGUCCUUUAACAAGGCUCAAGCUUCUAAUGUACAGAAACUGAAGAAUUCUGGAUCUGAAAUUUCCCUACCUAUGUCUGGUCAGCCUGAAUCAGUCUAGACUUUGCCCCAACUACUAAUUUUACUACUACUCUACUAGUACUUAUUAUUACUUACCAGAGAUUAAACCCAAGGGUGCUUAACCACUGAGCCACAUCCUGAACCCUUUUUAUGUUUUAGAGACAGAGUCUCACUAAGUUGCUGGGACUGGCUUCAAACUUGGGCUCCUCCUGCCUCAGCCUCCUGAGUUGCUAGGAUUACAGGCAUGUGCCAUCACAUCCAGUGAGCCUAAAUUCUUGUGUAAACUCAAAAGUCAUCCAAAUUCUCUGAGCAUCAGGUUUUUCUUGUAUGAGUCCACAAAGGUAUACAUGUAAUAUCAGGAAUUAGAAAUAUCUAGCUAAACAUAGAAUAUGGUCAUAUUAAGUAAAGCAGUGGAACCAGAUGCUCUCUGAGGUCUUCUUUAAAACUCUGGGACUUGGUCUUACAUCAUAGGGUGGAAAAAGAGGGACCAGUUAUGAAGCACCACUCUGGACCUUCUGCAGUGUCUAUAUUUAGUGGCAUUUUAGCUCCUGGAUUGAGUAAGACUAAAGGGGUUGCAGGAUGUCUAUUUGAAAUGACCUCUAGACAGGCCAUUGCCUCUCUUUUCCUCUUGGAGUCUACUUUGUCAUUUCCACCAUGAGAUGCCAAUAAAACCAACCAAUCCUGCCAACGGUAAAGGAUCGCUGUUGAGUCAAGACAGUGAAUGUGGGAGAUGCCUCAAGCAGGAGAAGUUUUGAAAGAGCAAACAGAAGGCUACAAAUCUCAAACAGAGUAAAUAUACAAAGUCACUGGGUGGAUACAUCUCAAACAGACCAUCAAUCACCAGGGUCAGAUGCAAAUAUUAGGUGUAGAGGGAGCCAUCCUCCUGGCACUGCUGUGGAAAUAUCAGGGCUUGGAAAAUGCAAGUGGUUCCUGUUUAAUUACUUAUGUUUUUGUACAAAGGAAAAAAGAUCAGUACAAAACACCAAUAGAUAGGUGGUAGGAUUCAGAGCAAGGGGUUCUUCCUAGGGUACUGAGGCUCUUGAAAGAGUGACUCUCUUUUGUGAGCACCUCUAUAAAAUAAGGGGGUUGGGUACUCUAUAACCCAGGGAUCUCAAUCUUGGUUGCAUAUUAGAAUCACCUGGGGGAUAUUUUAAGACUCUAGAUGCUCACCCCACAUCCAAAACCUAUUAGACUCAGUCAUCCCAAGUGAUUUCUUACAGUAGCCAAAUUUAGGAGCAUCACUGUUCAGAGGCUUUCAUGGUUCCAAAACCGGGCUAAGGUUUCUAAGUCGUAGAUCAUAUGAUGCUCCACUAGGUGGCACCUUCCAGCAGUUUCAAGAAUGAACUCAUAAAGCAGGGCUUGGUGGUCUUUGCUAGGAUCCGUAAUCCUGAUGAGAAGACUGAACUUGUUGUUUAAAAAUUCCUAGUAAGUGGUGGAGUUACAGAAUAUUAAGAUUUGUCCUGUUGGGGAACAGGCCAGGAAAGGGGGCAGCUCCAUUCCUUACUACUGGGCUCACCCAUCCAUGCAUGCACUCUGGGCUUUCCUCCCCCAUCCAUCCAGCAGGAACAGCAAGCUCCCCUCAGAAGCCCUCCAGGAGCCCCAUUAUUGGAGUGGUGACAUCUGCUCUUUAUAUCUGGCUAGUGCAAAACACCCUGCUUUACCUUAAGGAUCUAUACUCCAUGCCCUGGGAGGUUGACUCCACCCUAAACUGCUGGCUUGGCCAAUCAGAGCACUCUAUCCCCUUCCACUUCUGUGAUUAGUCUAGGGGUGAGCACCUGAUUUCCAGAAGACAAACCUGAACCAAUGGGGUUCGUCCUGAGGAUUUUAUGAAGGAAAUAGUGGCCUCUUCUAGGUCAGCUUUCUAACAGGAUGUGAAGAGUCGGCUGAAUGUCUUGCCUUUGCUCUCCUGAAGCUUUUGUUCCUUGCUGCUGCUGCUUCUAUAUUUUUAUUAGUUGUUCACGGAUCCUUCCUUCCUUCCUUCCUUCCUUCCUUCCUUCCUUCCUCUUUUCUUCCUUCCUUCCUUCCUUUCUUUCUUUCUUUCUUUCUUUCUUUCUUUCUUUCUUUCUUUCUUUCUUUCUCUUUCCUUUCUUGUGCUGAGACUUGAACCCAGAGCCUCACACAUGCUAGGCAAAGUGCUUUACCUGGGAGCCGCAACCCCAGCCCAUCCACCAGCUUCUUGAUGCUCCUUUUUCUUGAUGAGCUUAGCCCUUGACAGGACCUAGGAACAGGGAGAAGACCCAGGUCAGGGUUUCUCCCCAGCUCCCUCACUGGGACUAUGCCACCGGCUGACUGUGUCUGCCACUAAGGGCCACAGUGCCUGUCACAGUCUCCCUGGGUUCUGAUAACUGCCCCUCCCCUUAACCUGCAGUCCUAGGGCAUUUCACUGUCCUUGGUGGUCGCCCCUCCCCUCCCAAAGUGUUCUAAUAAAUUCUUCUCAAAUUUUCCAGCAUGAGAGUGCCAUUCAUUUCCUGCCUGAGACCCUAACUCAACAAGGAUGAAGCCCCCAGAGAACAGCCUAACACAGAGGAAAGGGGAGCUGACAGAUCACUGGGUCACUAGAGCUAACCCCUGAUGUCAUCCGGGCUUCUAGUCCAACUCACCUCCCACAUUCAAACAAUUACCUAAUAAUGCUGAUUUUAUUGCCUAAUAAAUUUUAAAUGUAUCCCUUCACCUCUAGGCCUGCUCUGUAGCACAUAUUUCAGAUGCCUGUAAGAAUCCCUGAUCAGAACACUACAUCAAAUGACUAAAUUCCGUACCUUGCCGAGUACCUCAUCCUCAUCUAUGGGCUGGUCCUUGACCAUGACUUGUCUGACUUGGAUCAAAAGGAUGAAUUGGACUACUCAGACUCUCUCAGAAAUUGGAAACAAAUGACAGAGGAAAGAAGAUAGCACUUUAAUCUUCCCCCAAACCCUAUGAGGCAGGUUCUAUUAUUAUUUCCAUUUUCCAAAAGAGGAAACUGAACCAUGCCUAGACACUGUGUGCUAAGUUCUUUAUGUACAUCACCUCACUGACUCUUUUAGUUAUUCAUUCAACCGAUAUUUAUUAAUGCACCUAUCAUGUGCCAGAAACUAUGGGAGAUGCUAGGCAUUCAGUAGUGGGAAAAUGAUAAAUAACAGUCACAGGGCUUACCAUGUGGUAGUGGAAAAGACAUUGUAAAAAUGAAUACAGGAAGGGGCUGGGGAUGUGGCUCAAGCGGUAACAUGUUCGCCUGGCAUGCAUGGGGUGCUGGGUUCGAUCCUCAGCACCACAUUAAAAAAAAAAAAAGAUGUUGUGUCCACCGAAAACUAAAAAAUAAAUAUUAAAAAAUUCUCUCUCUCUGUCUCUCUCUCUUUUAAAAAAAAAUGAAUACAGGAAAAACAGUUGUCUUAGGUAGGAGGAAGGAGAAAGAGCCUCUUGGCUGUUAGACAAAACACUGGGUUAGAACCCAAUGCUGUUGGAAUCCUAGUCCAACAUUCAGCCAAGUUCCACUAUUG
rnacentral:lncRNA from 1 species